rnacentral:rRNA from 1 species
AAAAAGCUUCAAAACUGGGAUUAGAUACCCCACUAUGCCUGGCCCUAAACAUUGAUAGCAUAAUUCACCAGCUAUCCGCCCGGGUACUACGAGCAUUAGCUUAAAACCCAAAGGACUUGGCGGUGCUUUAGAUCCACCUAGAGGAGCCUGUUCUAGAACCGAUAACCCCCGUUCAACCUCACCCUCCCAUGUCUUACCCGCCUAUAUACCACCGUCGUCAGCUUACCCUGUGAAGGCCCUACAGUAAGCAUAAUUGGCACAGCCCAAAACGUCAGGUCGAGGUGUAGCGUAUGAGAGGGGAAGAAAUGGGCUACAUCCACUAUCACAGUGUAUACGGAUAACAUAAUGAAACUUAUAAUUGAAGGAGGAUUUAGCAGUAAGCAGAAAAUAGAGUGUUCUGCUGAAUUUGGCCCUGAAGCGCGCACACACCGCCCGUCACCCUCUGCAGUCA